GAAUUCAGUGAAUCAUCGAGUCUUUGAACGCAAAUGGCGCUCUCGGUUCUGCCGGGAGCACGUCUGUCUGAGCGUUUGUUUUAACGUGCACCGAACCAGGUGUGCCUUGGGGUG
rnacentral:rRNA from 2 species